AUCUAGGCUCUUGCAUCGAUGAAGAACGUAGCGAAAUGCGAUACUUGGUGUGAAUUGCAGAAUCCCGUGAACCAUCGAGUCUUUGAACGCAAGUUGCGCCCGAUGCCAUUAGGUUGAGGGCACGUCUGCUUGGGUGUCACAUAUCGAAGCCUCCUGCCAAUUUC
rnacentral:rRNA from 1 species